rfam:Danio rerio chromosome 4, GRCz11 reference primary assembly.
UCAUUGGUGGCUCAGUGGUAGAAUUCUCGCCUGCCAUGCGGGAGACCCAGAUCCGAUUCCUGCCCAAUGCA